rnacentral:misc_RNA from 1 species
CUGAAAAUUCUUUGACGUCCCAACCAUCUGCAAUCAAUGAUCGCAAUGAGUUUUAAGAAAAAUUCUAGAGAAAAUAUGCUGAUUUACAAGUGCAGUAUACCGUGUAAACAACAACAACUAAUCAGAUCAUUUCAAUGAUGAGUACUGAAAAAUAUAAUUAACCCCAGAAGAAGUUUGUAAUCCAGUUCAAUUUCGUCACGGUUGUAAUCGGUUUGGUUGAUAAGAAAAUAAUGGCAAAAUGGAUGGAAUUUCCAAUAGACACUGGAACACCCUCAUAGAAGUCAAACUGACUUUACCCACAGAAAUGAACAAUCACACAAAAGUUGAACUUUCCACGCCCUUGAAGAACAAAAGAAAGAGAAACAAAAUGGUCUAAAUUUUCUUUCUCAUUCCUUAAUUCCACAAUUUUCUCAGCAAACAAACAGAAAAGGAAUAAACAAAUGAGAGCAAUGUGGUCACACCUU